UGGACAGAUUAUUGUAUUCGACUGUAUUCACGGCGUGAAACAGGGGAUUACACUGUCUUUAAACGAAAAGUGAAUCAAUUAACAUAAUAAACUUCU
rnacentral:pre_miRNA from 1 species